GACGAACGCUGGCGGCGUGCUUAACACAUGCAAGUCGAACGGAAAGGCCCUGCUUUUGUGGGGUGCUCGAGUGGCGAACGGGUGAGUAACACGUGAGUAACCUGCCCUUGACUUUGGGAUAACUUCAGGAAACUGGGGCUAAUACCGGAUAGGAGCUCCUGCUGCAUGGUGGGGGUUGGAAAGUUUCGGCGGUUGGGGAUGGACUCGCGGCUUAUCAGCUUGUUGGUGGGGUAGUGGCUUACCAAGGCUUUGACGGGUAGCCGGCCUGAGAGGGUGACCGGCCACAAUGGGACUGAGAUACGGCCCAGACGCCUACGGGAGGCAGCAGUGGGGAACAUUGCAGAAUGGGCGGAAGCCUGAUGCAGCAACGCCGCGUGCGGGAUGACGGCCUUCGGGUUGUAAACCGCUUUCGCCGGUGACGAAGCGUGAGUGACGGUAAUGGGUAAAGAAGCACCGGCUAACUACGUG
rnacentral:rRNA from 1 species